UACGGGGGGGGCAAGCGUUGUUCGGAAUUACUGGGCGGAAAGGGCUCGUAGGUGGCCAACUAAGUCAGACGUGAAAUCCCUCGGCUUAACCGGGGAACUGCGUCUGAUACUGGAUGGCUUGAGUUUGGGAGAGGGAUGCGGAAUUCCAGGUGUAGCGGUGAAAUGCGUAGAUAUCUGGAGGAACACCGGUGGCGAAGGCGGCAUCCUGGACCAACACUGACACUGAGGAGCGAAAGCCAGGGGAGCAAACGGG
rnacentral:rRNA from 1 species